GAUCAACGCUGGCGGCGUGCCUAAUACAUGCAAGUCGAGCGAACGGACGAGAAGCUUGCUUCUCUGAUGUUAGCGGCGGACGGGUGAGUAACACGUGGAUAACCUACCUAUAAGACUGGGAUAACUUCGGGAAACCGGAGCUAAUACCGGAUAAUAUUUUGAACCGCAUGGUUCAAAAGUGAAAGACGGUCUUGCUGUCACUUAUAGAUGGAUCCGCGCUGCAUUAGCUAGUUGGUAAGGUAACGGCUUACCAAGGCAACGAUGCAUAGCCGACCUGAGAGGGUGAUCGGCCACACUGGAACUGAGACACGGUCCAGACUCCUACGGGAAGCAGCAGUAGGGAAUCUUCCGCAAUGGGCGAAAGCCUGACGGAGCAACGCCGCGUGAGUGAUGAAGGUCUUCGGAUCGUAAAACUCUGUUAUUAGGGAAGAACAUAUGUGUAAGUAACUGUGCACAUCUUGACGGUACCUAAUCAGAAAGCCACGGCUAACUACGUG
rnacentral:rRNA from 1 species